CCCACUAAACCUAACAGCCACAAUGCAUACACUACUCCCUUCACCACAGAAGAAACCGAAACAGAAGCAGAGAAGAGGAGAGGGAGAAGAGCAUCGCGCUUCAUCGUCGCCACCGUGCCUUGCCGCCGUGGCCUAACAGCAUCGCCGCCGACUCGUGAAGCUACCGCCAUAGUCCGUCGUGGGCCCCUGCAAGCUCGCCGCGUCGCGUCGCUUUGGAGUCCGCCGUCAGGUCUAAGUCGAAGAAGGUGGGAGACGCACGAAGAGAAGCUUGCGGCUAGCCUUGUCACCGCCACUGCUUCUAUGUCUUCCAACGGCGCUGCCAUCUUCGCCGUGGAUCGCAACCAAAGGGGAGCGCGAGACUGAGAGAGAGAGAUACAGAGAGAGAGAGAGAGAGGCGUGGAGUCGGCGUCGCGCGGAGAGGGACUCGCCGCUGCCGUCGCACACCGCCGUGUGCCGUCAUUGCUGUCUGAACAGUCGCCGUCGCCCUGGGGUGUAGUCUGCCGCUGUCGCCAGUGGAGGUCACUGAUGUGGAACGGAGGUAAGAGGGGGAAGCAAGAUAAAUCCCCUCCGCUUCUGGUGCUCUGAUCCGCCACCACUGCCGCCGGAGUCCUUGGCCGCUGCUCCUACCGUUGCUCCAUUUGGGUUUUGGGUGAGCGCGCCGCCGUUGCCUUUGGAAUCCGCUGUUGAGGCCAGGAUGAUAUGGUGGUUUCUAAUGAAGGCGCCAUUGAUGGGGCUGCUAUGUUCAGUGAAUUUUGCGAGUUUCGACUUUUCGAUGACCCACUGGAGCUUCUGGCCACUGCCGGAGCUGUUGCCGGGCCGGUUCGAAAUCGCAGCUAUCUGUUUUGUUAAUUCGAGCUGUUUAUGCUGUUGCAAAAAUAUGUGGGGCUGUGCUUUGAAGCUGCCUUUGAUUUCGAGUUGAGGCGAAAAGAACUUAUGAGGCAUUUGGAUUAUGGAAUUUGCUGUUUUGAGGAUAUAGGCGCUGAAGUCACGAAGAGUUUAUUUAAUUGUUGUUGUGAUGCUCUGUAUUGUUUUAGUUAUGUUUUAUUGUACCAUCGCCUUUAUCUUGAUAUAUUCUAUAAGAGGGAUAUGAAUUGUUUUGAUUAAUGCUUG